ACAGACCAUGCCCUGCAGAGCUCCGCCUGGCAGACUUGAUUGCACGUGGCCCUGCGAUCGGCAGGUAGACAGUCCCGUCCCUCUGUGAUGCAAGAAGGGCUCACCACACAGGACUCAGACAAGAUGGAAGCCACGUUCACCUGAGACCAGGCCUCCCUGGACCCACAGCCAGGCUGAGUCCUCAGACAGCCCCGCUGAGAACAGGCCAGCCUUGGGGGACACAUCCUCCAAUCUACCACCCCUCACUCUUCAUCCCACUGCCCCACACCUGGGUCUUACAGACUGUCUAAUACCUCCCUACAAAGGAAAAACCCAGAGUGCCUGAUCCCUGAUGUGCCUGCCAUGGUCACACAACUCUCCACGGCAACAUCUGUCUCCACACAUCUCUCUACCUCCCUGGCUCCCCCACAAUAAUCCUUUCAAAUAAAGACUCUUACUAAGCCUG